UGCCCAAAUUAUUGUUUGCAAUUAGUCAACGUUACCAGCUACAUAUCUAGGAUUAACACUCAUUCACCAUAAAUCUACAGUAAGCUGCUGGAGAUUUCUUGAGAAAAAAAUUGAGAGGAAGCUAGUAGCUUAAAAAGAUAAGAUUCUCUCUCUAGGAGGAUGACUAACCUUUGUUAGUUAUGUUCUCAGCUCUAUACCAACCUAUUGGAUGUCUUCGUUGCUG
rnacentral:lncRNA from 1 species